GGCAGUUAAUAUUUUAAUCUGUACAUAUACCAUUUUCCACACUGUUACAUUUUAUUUAAAUUAAUGUUUUCUUGCAAAAUACUCAUUUAUGCUUUCAAAACUUUUUAUAAAGGCAAAAAUAAAUCAUUAUUUUGGCAAAAGGUUUUGAAGUUGAUACUGGCAGUAUUGAGGUAAAGUAGAUUGCAUUAGCUAAAUACAUACUUUUAAGAAUAUUUCUGAGUAUAGUGUUAAUAUAAUAUGAUUUGUCUUGAAGUCUGAAACUUAAAGGUCAAUCAUUUUCAAGGGUUUUAUAGCUAUUACUUGGAUACAACAAAUAAACAAGUUAGUGGUUUCACAAAACACUGCAGAAGUAUUUCUCAGUAAUUUCUCAUCCAGAGCUGAACUCAACCAAUAAUUGCUUAAUAUUGAGAAAUUUUUGCAUGUCUUGCCUUCAAUGCAUACACAAGUUUCAAGUAACAUAGUUGCAGCAAUUCAUUCAAUCUUAUUUUCUCCUUCGGUAACUGCCUGACCCUUUGCCCUGUACAUAAGUAAAACACUGAAUUUCAAAGUUUGGCAAAGUUGAGCAACAGGUGACCAUACAUACGAAAUUAGUUUUGCUGUUUCCAGGAUAAAUACUAGUCAAUACAUCAUACUGUGAUGUUUAUUGAAAAAAUUCCAAAAGAAAAAUACAUAUUUACUGGUGAAAUGACAAAUGCUAUUAUUGUUUUUUCAUUUCUUCACAUAUUUUAAUUAAAAGUUUUCUUCUUUUAUAUCUUUCCAAAGAAAGUAAAAUUUGCCAGCUGUUUGUUUCUGAGGGUUCCCAAGCAGACUGUGUAGUGAUACCACCAAGUUAAUCAUAUGGGAUCAAAAAAGGAAAUGGGACUUAAAACUGGCUUCAAUUACAGCUUUUGUGGGAAACUUCAGCUGUACAGUGGUUACCGAUGUUUAGAAAUUCAAGCUAAAAGUUCUUGCAAUGUAUUAUUUAAUGGGCAAAAGGGUGGGUGCUUAACUCUACAAAAAUACUCAAUCCAAAACACCCUUUUAGCAAAUCUGUCCCUUGCAUUAGCUCCACCCAUAACCUACGAAUGUGCUUCUAGGUUGUUCAACUUUUCUUUUUUUUUUUUUUCAUGAAACUUUACAUUGUGCAUCUGAGCCUGAGGGGGAAGUAACAGCAUCUUUUAACAUCUAUGCAAGUAGUUUCUCCUAAAAUGAAUUCAGCCCUUGAUUUAAAAAAAAAAAAAAAAAUCUAAAAUACAUUGUUCUAAAAAUACAUUGUCAGUAUUUUACAGUUUAAUAAAAGUGCCAUUUAUUCAUAUAAAAAGUCUGAACUAAACAGAAGUAAAAAUAAAAUGAUUUUCAAAUCUCUUCAUUUUCAUAGAAAAUCCCCCUAUUAUUCUCUGAGUGUAUUUCCAGAAGAACAUAUCAUCAGCCGAUGAGCAUCUUCAAAGAAAGCUGGUAAAGAAUCUCUUCUUCCUUCCACAUGGUGUAACUAGGAGGGAUUUGCUUUGAGUCUUACAUCAAGUGUUCACUCACUGCUUUGGCUAGCAUGAAGUAAAAUAAAACAUGGUUAAAUAUCCAAGUGAGCACACUAAGCCAAGCAGUAAGCAAUUGCAGGAAACAUUUCUUUAUUAAACCUUCUGCAAUUUGACAGAAGGAACAAGUCCUAUGGACAUGUGAAUGAUUAUCUUAUGAUGCAACCGAUGCUCAAACUCCUGUGACCCCCGCAUGUUGCUGGUUAUUGCAUUUAUUUUCUUCAUAAUUUUCCUGAAGAAAAUGUAGGGUUUCAUAUAUAUACGUAAACAUGUAGCUAUACAUACACAUGUAUGUAUAUUUAUAUAGACAUGUGAUACACAUGUUUUAAAGUCAGUCUGGAACCACAGAAUGGUUGGGGUAGGAAGGGACCUCUGGAGGUCAUCUGGUCCAAGCCCCUUCUCAUGUCUAAUACCCUGGGACCAUAUGGUUAUUUUUCUGGGUUCUUGAGGCCACACGUGGGUACCCUAUUCACAGGCAAAGAUCUCACGUGAUAGUGACAAUCAACUAGCAUAUCCCUGGAUAUGAGUCGAGUGUUAUUCAGACCCAACAAAAAUGGUAGAAUCUGGUUUUCUGAAAGACAAACUGAACCAGAAAAGCAAAUGUCUAUUUCCAUCAUGCUCUGUAGAGGCUCCUAAUGUCUAUACACAUCUAUUGAUGUAAAUUUAUCUUUUUUCACAGGCCCUGUAGAAGGCAGGUCACUGCCUGUUUGGGUCUUUCUUGUAUGUGCUCAGUUUUAUCUAGAUUUUUAUUUUUUGCACAGAUAUUUGACUCAGACCAGUGACAAUGAAAACAAAGGUAUCUAAAGGUUAAUGCUAUUUGAGUUAUUCACUCAAUCAACCC
rnacentral:lncRNA from 1 species